CUGGGGAGGGAGAGAGAUGCACACAUGCAUCCAGCAGGACUCACAGGACCCCCAGCUCAGAUGGGUGCCCCAGGUACCAAGGAAUCCCAUGGACCUUGAGGAUGGGGACCUGGGCACACCCGCCCCCUUGGAGCAGGACACUCACCCCUCGUCCUCAUAGAGCCCACGUUGCCAGUCAACUCCUAAAGGCACUGGAUGUCCUUUCAGUCAUCUCUUCCCUACCACUGUGCACCUUCAAGAGGGCUCGGCAGAAUCCUGGAAUGGAGACAGGAGCCCAGUCCUUGAUGCCAGCUGACCAACUAACUGUCCGCAGUGGCCUACAAUAACAACAGCUACAACAAUACUACUUUCCACUCGGCUGAGACUUGACUUGUGUAGUAGACAGCCUCUAAGAUGGCCCCUAGGGAUCCCCACCUCCUGUGCUCAUACCCUUGGGUAGUUAGUCCACGUUGUAUCAGCAUUGUUUCAUGUGACCCAGGAACCUCUGGCAGAAGUGAUGGCAUGUCACUUCUGAUUGUUAUAAAAGACACUGUGGCUUGUUUUGCA